rnacentral:rRNA from 1 species
AUUCCAGCUCCAAUAGCGUAUAUUAUUAUUGUUGCGGUUAAAAAGCUCGUAGUUGGAUCUCGGUUUCGGGCGAGCGGUGUACCUUGCGGUAUUUACUGUUUGCCCGGACGAUUUUGUUGGUUCGUUUAUGGUUCUCUUAACCGAGUGCCAUAAGUGGCCAGCACGUUUACUUUGAAAAAAUUGGAGUGCUCAAAGCAGGCGCUACAGCCUGAACAUUAGUGCAUGGAAUAAUGGAAUAGGAUCUCGGUUCUAUUUCGUUGGCUUUCGGAGUCGAGGUAAUGAUUAAUAGGGACAGACGGGGGCAUUCGUACUGCGACGUUAGAGGUGAAAUUCUUGGAUCGUCGCAAGACGAACUACUGCGAAAGCAUUUGCCAAGAAUGUUUUCAUUAAUCAAGAACGAAAGUUAGAGGUUCGAAGGCGAUCAGAUACCGCCCUAGUUCUAACCAUAAACGAUGUCGACCGGCGAUCCGUUAUCGUUAACUGAAUGACUUAACGGGCAGCCUCCGGGAAACCAGAGUGUUUGGAUUCCGGGGGAAGUAUGGUUGCAAAGCUGAAACUUAAAAGAAUUGACGGAAGGGCACCACCAGGAGUGGAGCCUGCGGCUUAAUUUGACCCAACACGGGAAAUCUCACCAGGCCCGGACACCGGAAGGAUUGACAGAUUGAGAGCUCUUUCUUGAUUCGGUGGGUGGUGGUGCAUGGCCGUUCUUAGUUGGUGGAGCGAUUUGUCUGGUUAAUUCCGAUAACGAACGAGACUCUGGCCUACUAACUAGACGUUAGAUCCCUUUGUGGGUCUAUCGCAGCUUCUUAGAGGGACGGGCGGCGUUUAGCCGCACGAGAUUGAGCAAUAACAGGUCUGUGAUGCCCUUAGAUGUUCUGGGCUGCACGCGCGCUACACUGAAGGAAUCAGCGUGUGUUCCCUACCCGAAAGGGUUGGGAAACCCGUUGAACCUCCUUCGUGAUGGGGAUUGGGGACUGCAAUUAUUCCCCAUGAACGAGGAAUUCCCAGUAGGCGCGAGUCAUAAGCUUGCGUCGAUUACGUCCCUGCCCUUUGUACACACCGCCCGUCGCUACUACCGAUCGAGUGAUUUAGUGAGGCCUUCGGACUGGUCUUCAGUAUGGCUUUCGGGUCGUGUUGGAGUACCGGAAAGAUGACCAAACUUGAUCACUUAGAGGAAGUAAAAGUC